rnacentral:rRNA from 1 species
UACGGGGGGAGCAAGCGUUGUUCGGAUUUACUGGGCGUAAAGGGCGCGUAGGCGGUCGUGACAAGUCACUUGUGAAAUCUCCGGGCUUAACUCGGAAAGGUCAACUGAUACUGUGCGACUAGAGUGCGGAAGGGGCAACUGGAAUUCUCGGUGUAGCGGUGAAAUGCGUAGAUAUCGAGAGGAACACCUGCGGCGAAGGCGGGUUGCUGGGCCGACACUGACGCUGAUGCGCGAAAGCCAGGGGAGCGAACGGG